GAGAGGCGGACGUGUUUACGAGUCGCUCUGGAUGUCGCAUUAUUAAAUGAAAAUUAGAUACCUACGAAGGCCAAUUACAUUAUCUUCCCUCUCACGGGUACAACCUUGACGUGAUGGAAGGGCUCAGUACCCAGAGGAUAUUUAUACGAAAAGAACGAAAAGAAAGAAGUUUUUCUCAAGUAUUUAAAAAUUGUCGGAUCUAUCUGAAUGAUAUUUCUAGAUAAAUUUUUAGACACUUAAGUAAAAUCGUUCUCUUCGUGUAAAAAUCCAAUGAGAAAGCUAACGUACCCUCGUCGCCGAUUUAUUUGAAAAUGAACGAACCGCAGCCGGUUCGUCGCGUCGCGCGUUUGUUUCGGGAGUGCCGUUCAAGUUAUCGGAUUCAAGUUACAAUCCGCGCGCGAUUAUAGUACAUUAUUCGCGAGUGUUUUACGCGAAUGUCCUGUGCGAGAGGAUGUCAACCCAAUUCUGAGAGGAGGAGGAGGUCUAGGAGAGACAUCGAGCAUCGGCGGAGCAACCUUGCGAAUCAUCGUAGCGACGUUGCAGAUAUAACUCCGCUGUUGUGCAUCAAAUUGGUGAG